AACGAAGGGGGCUAGCGGUGUUCGGAAUUACUGGGCGUAAAGCGCACGUAGGCGGACUGUCAAGUCAGGGGUGAAAUCCCGGGGCUCAACCUCGGAACUGCCUUUGAUACUGUCAGUCUAGAGUCCGGAAGAGGUGGGUGGAAUUCCUAGUGUAGAGGUGAAAUUCGCAGAUAUUAGGAAGAACACCGGUGGCGAAGGCGGCCCACUGGUCCGGUACUGACGCUGAGGCGCGAAAGCGUGGGGAGCAAACAGG
rnacentral:rRNA from 1 species